rnacentral:rRNA from 1 species
CGGCGGACGGGUGAGUAAUGCUUAGGAAUCUGCCUAUUAGUGGGGGACAACAUUUCGAAAGGAAUGCUAAUACCGCAUACGUCCUACGGGAGAAAGCAGGGGAUCUUCGGACCUUGCGCUAAUAGAUGAGCCUAAGUCGGAUUAGCUAGUUGGUGGGGUAAAGGCCUACCAAGGCGACGAUCUGUAGCGGGUCUGAGAGGAUGAUCCGCCACACUGGGACUGAGACACGGCCCAGACUCCUACGGGAGGCAGCAGUGGGGAAUAUUGGACAAUGGGCGCAAGCCUGAUCCAGCCAUGCCGCGUGUGUGAAGAAGGCCUUAUGGUUGUAAAGCACUUUAAGUGAGGAGGAGGCUACUGAAGUUAAUACCUUCAGAUAGUGGACGUUACUCGCAGAAUAAGCACCGGCUAACUCUGUGCCAGCAGCCGCGGUAAUACAGAGGGUGCAAGCGUUAAUCGGAGUUACUGGGCGUAAAGCGCGCGUAGGCGGCUAAUUAAGUCAAAUGUGAAAUCCCCGAGCUUAACUUGGGAAUUGCAUUCGAUACUGGUUAGCUAGAGUGUGGGAGAGGAUGGUAGAAUUCCAGGCGUAGCGGUGAAAUGCGUAGAGAUCUGGAGGAAUACCGAUGGCGAAGGCAGCCAUCUGGCCUAACACUGACGCUGAGGUGCGAAGGCAUGGGGAGCAAACAGGAUUAGAUACCCUGGUAGUCCAUGCCGUAAACGAUGUCUACUAGCCGUUGGGGCCUUUGAGGCUUUAGUGGCGCAGCUAACGCGAUAAGUAGACCGCCU